GCCCCUUUUACCCCUCCUUCUUUCGUCGCGUCCCGCACAUUCGCCGGGAGACAAAGUCGGCGAAGGGAUCGCUGCGCUCGUAGCAGCUGAGCUGCUUGCUUUCCCCGCUUGGCCGGCGAGAAGCAGCGGUGGCUAGAGGCGGUGGCGGCUUCCACAGCGGCUGCGUGAGAAGACAACGGCGUGCUGGCAAAGAAAACCGCCGGGCCCGGCCCAUUAUGGCCCCUGCGACGACCGCGGCGGGAGAAGCAGGUGUCUAUGGCCGGCGGCUGCCCCUCCACUGCCGUCUGCCUGCCUCUUUGCCUGCCUGAGGAGAGCCGGAUAACCGCGCAGGGAAUCCAGAGGUCUGCCAAGAGCGCGCACUUCUGGCCUGUAUGGGGGAAGGGGAGAAUAAAAGUGGCGGAGAAUUCCCCACAUUUUGAAUGAUU